UACGUAGGGGGCAAGCGUUAUCCGGAUUUACUGGGUGUAAAGGGAGCGUAGGUGGCAUGGCAAGCCAGAAGUGAAAACCCGGGGCUUAACCCCGCGGAUUGCUUUUGGAACUGUCAGGCUGGAGUGCAGGAGGGGCAGGCGGAAUUCCUGGUGUAGCGGUGAAAUGCGUAGAUAUCAGGAGGAACAUCGGUGGCGAAAGCGCUUUACUGGACCAUUAUUGACGCUGAGGAACGAAAGCCAGGGGAGCAAAUGGG
rnacentral:rRNA from 1 species